ensembl:lncRNA
UUUUUUUUUUUUUUUUUUUAAGCAGAUUUUCAAAUUCUUUUGGGUUUUCCCCCUUGUCUCCCCAUCCAACUGCUGCAGUCUGUACCUGCGGUCAGAGCUGCUCUGUGCUAGACGUUAUCUCGCAGUCACGCAACCAGGGCUCUGCCUUAUCUCACAGCCACGUGGGGCACAGCGUCCAUCCUGAACAGGUUCCUUAGCUGCUUGUCCCCCAGGCUCCAGGCCUAUGCCAGAUGCUUACAAACAACGGUGGCUGCUUUUGUUAGUUUUAGUAGGCAAUCCAUGAACCACAACCAGGCUCCUGAUCGUGUUUCUGAGCCCCAGAGAUACACAGUGGUGUAAAGGCUUUGGAGAGGCAGGACAGUGUUGAAGCAGUGCACGGACAAAAGAGAAUUGACCACACCUGACAAUUCACACUGUGUCAAAACAUCUUUUGGCCAUAAUAGUUUCUUCUUUCUCCCACUCCAGCCUGCCUGUAAUGCUUUCAAACAAUUCCCCUCUGGGCUCUGGCACAAGCCAUCUGUCCAAAAGAGAAAUGUAUACAGCAGCAAACGUCAACCCUGCAAAAACUGCAGGGGAAGGAUGAGGCAGAGAAGACUGGAAUGACAAUCUCCUUACACACGAUACCACCUAAACUUCUUCACUCCAUCAUGAUAGUUCUAAAGCAUGAAAACCAAGAGAUUUUUGUCCUUUUCCUUGCCUGCAGGAAAGAGCUUGAGACUUCGGAGCCUUUGGAAGAUGCUGACUGAUAAGUGUGGGGGUGUGGGGACCCCAGUGCAGGCAUCGCACAUGGGUGAGCUUCCACCCACAGGCAUGGCGACACAACAGCAACCUGGUGUCUGCAGUUCCUGUGUAUUGACAACAGCCAUCUUCAAACCUGCUCCACAUCCACACACAUUCUAACAGACAGCCGCCGUUAAGACCUCCUGGAACAGGGGGAAUGGGGCUUCCUUAGAACUUCAGCUCAGCCUUCCUUCACGUCUUUCUGACUUCUUGUAACAAGGAAAAAGAGUUGUGCUUCAAAGAAUUCCUGAACCAACAUAGGUAAGACACUAAAAGAGAGGAAAAUAUUUAAUGCAAAUGUAAUUCAUUCAGCGCACUACAUAAAAUGUAGCAUAGCAAUCAGACCUAAAGAGAUUAUAAGAAAGAUAUGACUUACUAGAGGAAAUAAAUACUAACUUAAAACAGGUAGAAGUAGUAUUGGCUGUUUUGCCAACCAACACCAGAAGGAGAAUUUGGUCCUUCACUGAUUAUUACAAAUCUUGAGCCUAAUUAUUCCCGACAAUGAAUUGCAAAAGAGUAGGGCUGGAAAACCUCAGAUAAACCUGAGGAGUCUGAGCCAACCAAAUUAAACAAAAGGAACUACACAGGAAGAGACACUUCCAACAAGAUGCAGCGUCAUGCAAGCCCACGGAUUCUUAUUUUAAUCUACAAGACUUUCUUCUUUUUAAUCAACAUACAAGUUUGUUUUUGUUCCAUGAGGAUGUUUGUAAAUAGUGUGCAAAAAUUCUUGGAUGUGAGAGAAAACUUGAACAGCUUCAGAUGCUCAUUAGCUGCCGGACAAGACAGCGUCUGGGCUUUUCAACAUAAAUUCCAGUUUCAAUCCUGAUUUUGUGUAACCUACAUUACCUCUCUUAGGUCUUGUUCAAAUGAUUCUUUGUAUCACUAAGUUGAACCAACAAAUUAAUACCAUCCUUUAACAACCUGAAUAGUGAACAGAAUACAACCAGUGGUUUUUUUUUCUUUUUUCCAUGCUUAUAACAAUUUACUGUAUAGGUAAAAUGCAGAAUUUUGUUUUUCUUGAUGCCAUGGACAAUUCCCAAUUAACAGUGAUGACUCACGUCCUUUGUUAAAAAGUAUUACUUACAAUUAGCAAGUUGAAUCAAAUUAGAAACUCUCACUGAGCAUUACUGACACAGAUACUUUCAGCCAUCUUUGUUUGCAAUAUCUAAAAUCAGAGAUAGCGUGUUAGCAGAAUGUCUACUAAAUAGCAUUAUCUUUUAGCAGAAAGAAAUAAGCCUAAAACUUGCAGAGGAGAAAGAUAAAUAGCACACAACUACAGAUAAUUUGCAAUUUCCCCAAACUGGGCACCAACUAGAACAACACUAAUAGUACAAAUGAAUCAAACCCUCAUUUUGUACUGAUGCUGAAAUGACUUCACGUUUUAGUAAA